AUGUCCUCCGAUUGGGAAGACCUAUAUCCGUUGGCGUCGGUUACUAAAAUAGUCAAGGAUUUAUCUAAUCAUAACCCUUUGCUGCUGGAUGGGGGCGUGGCUUCAUCCAGGGCCCCCGGCAAUAGAUGUUUUAAAUUCGAUAACGCCUGGUUGAGCAAUCCAGAGUUCUUACCGCUUGUUUCUAAAAUCUGGGCUAGGCCUGUGUACACGGAUGAUCCUAUUGAUGUGUUGAACAUUAAGUUGAAGAGGAUGAAGAAAUUUUUUAAAGGGUGGGGCUCAAAUAACUUUGGCAAAUGUAGGAUUAAGAAGAAUCUACUUAGAUUGGAGCUUCAGGAGUUGGAGCUGUUAGAAGAACAAUAUGAUCUGUGCGGGGAGGCGUAUACGAGGAAGUUAAAUAUCCUGGUGGAACUUAAUAGUAUAUACCUUGAAGAGGAAUCAUCCUGGCAUCAAAAAUCUACCAAAAGGUGGCUAUUGAAAGGUGAUAAUAACACCGAUUUCUUCCAUAAAGUGGCCAAUGGGAGACGCAGGAAAAAUAUGAUACGUUCUCUUGAAUGUGGUUCUGUUACUAUUGAGGGGACCAAGAAUUUACUAGCCCAUGCUACUGACUUUUAUAAGGAAUUGUUUGGACCUGCACCUGGUAAUAUGUGUAGUGUUGACACAUCCUUGUGGUCUAUUGAGGAGAAUAUAUCCUUGAGUGAUAAUGAUGAGUUAACUAAACCCUUUUUCCUUGAGGAGAUUAAAGCUGCUCUCUUUGCUAUGGAGCCUAAUCGUGCACCUGGCCCUGAUAGUGUACCUGCUGAUUUCUACCAGCACUGCUGGGAUGUUGUUUGUAUGGAUCUCCUUAGGAUUUUUGAGUGGUUUCACGAGGGCAGGCUAGAUGUGCAACGCUUGAAUUAUGGCAUUAUCACCCUUUUGCCUAAAACCUCGGAGGCCAAUAGAAUUCAGCAGUACAGACCUAUUUGCUUGUUGCGAUGCCCUUAUAAGCUGAUCACCAAGGUCAUGGACAGGAGAGCGAGUGUAUAUGCCCCCAAACUGUUUAGUAUACAGUAG
rnacentral:rRNA from 1 species